rnacentral:tRNA from 1 species
GCGCUGGUAGCUCAGUUGGUUAGAGCGGGCCGCUCAUAACGGUCUGGUCGCGGGUUCAAGUCCUGCCCGGCGCA